GGGCGUCUAGCUCAAAUGGUAGAGCGCGCGCUUAGCAUCAACCUUCUCUUCUCAAAAAGGAGGAGUUUAGCAUGCGCGAGGUACACGGUUCGAUCCCGUGGUCGUCCA